UGGACCUUUUGCCAUGUCUGGGCGUGGUA
rnacentral:piRNA from 1 species